GACGAACGCUGGCGGCGUGCUUAACACAUGCAAGUCGAACGGAAAGGCCUUUUCGGAGGUACUCGAGUGGCGAACGGGUGUGUAACACGUGGGUGAUCUGCCCUGCACUCUGGGAUAAGCCUGGGAAACUGGGUCUAAUACCGGAUAGGACCGCACUUGAGUGUGGGUGGGGGAAAGUUUUUUCGGUGUAGGAUGAGCCCGCGGCCUAUCAGCUUGUUGGUGGGGUAAUGGCCUACCAAGGCGGCGACGGGUAGCCGGACUGAGAGGUUGGUCGGCCACAUUGGGACUGAGAUACGGCCCAGACUCCUACGGGAGGCAGCAGUGGGGAAUAUUGCACAAUGGGCGCAAGCCUGAUGCAGCAACGCCGCGUGGGGGAUGACGGCCUUCGGGUUGUAAACUCCUUUCGCCAGGGACGAAGCGUUUUGUGACGGUACCUGGAGAAGAAGCACCGGCUAACUACGUG
rnacentral:rRNA from 1 species